rnacentral:rRNA from 1 species
GACGAACGCUGGCGGCGUGCUUAACACAUGCAAGUCGAACGGAAAGGCCCUGCUUUUGUGGGGUGCUCGAGUGGCGAACGGGUGAGUAACACGUGAGUAACCUGCCCUUUACUUUGGGAUAACUUCAGGAAACUGGGGCUAAUACCGGAUAGGAGCUCCUGCUGCAUGGUGGGGGUUGGAAAGUUUCGGCGGUUGGGGAUGGACUCGCGGCUUAUCAGCUUGUUGGGGGGGUAGUGGCUUACCAAGGAUUUGACGGGUGGCCGGCCUGGGAGGGUGACCGGCCACAUUGGGACUGAGAUACGGACCAGACUCCUACGGGAGGCAGCAGUGGAGAAUAUUGCACAAUGGGCGGAAGCGUGAUGCAGCAACGCCGCGUGCGGGAUGACGGCCUUCGGGUUGUAAACCGCUUUAGCCUGUGACGAAGCGUGAGUGACGGUAAUGGGUAAAGAAGCACCGGCUAACUACGUG